rnacentral:rRNA from 1 species
UGAUCCUGCCAGUAGUCAUAUGCUUGUCUCAAAGACUAAGUCAUGCAUGUGUAAGUAUACAUGGUAUACAGUGAAACUGCGAAUGGCUCAUUAAAACAGUUAUAAUUUACUUGAUGGAUUAGGUAUAUGGAUAACCGUAGUAAUUCUAGAGCUAAUACAUGCAAGAAGGCCGGACCUUACGGGAAGGCUGUAUUUAUUAGAUAAAGACCAUCAUUCGGUGGUGAUUCAUAAUAACUUAACGAAUCGCUUAGACAUUGUCUGCGAUAUAUCAUUCAAGUUUCUGCCCUAUCAGCUUUCGAUGGUAGUGUAUUGGACUACCAUGGCAUUAACGGGUAACGGAGAAUUAGGGUUCGAUUCCGGAGAGGGAGCCUGAGAAACGGCUACCACAUCUAAGGAAGGCAGCAGGCGCGUAAAUUACCCAAUCCUAACUCAGGGAGGUAGUGACAAGAAAUAACAACGUAGAACUUCUAGUUUUGCGAUUGUAAUGGGUCCAAUUUAAAACCCUUAACGAGAAACAACUGGAGGGCAAGUC